GGUGCGUAACACGUACUUAAUCUGCCCUAGAGUGGGGGACUACUGUNNGCAAAGUACUAAUCCCCCAUACGUUCCAGUGAAUGAAAAAACGUGGAAGACAGGUUACCGCUCUAGGAGGAGGGUGCGGCCUAUNAGCUAGUUGGUAGGGUAAAGGCCUACCAAGGCGAUGAUAGGUAGCUGGUCUGAGAGGAUGAUCAGCCACAAUGGGACUGAGAUACGGCCCAUACCCCUACGGGGGGCAGCAGUGGGGAAUAUUGCGCAAUGGACGAAAGUCUGACGCAGCGAUCUCGCGUGGAGGAUGAAGCAUUACGGUGUGUAAACUCCUUUUCUGGAGGAAGACGACUGACGGUACUCCAGGAAUAAGGGACGGCUAACUACGUGCCAGCAGCCGCGGUAAUACGUAGGUCUCAAGCGUUAUCCGGAUUUACUGGGCGUAAAGCGUCCGUAGCCUGUUUUGUAAGUCUGCAUUCAAAUACCGGAGCUCAACUUCGGAAAGGGUGUAGAUACUGCAUUACUAGAGAAAAAUAGAGGUUAGUAGAAUUUCCGGUGGAGGAGUGAAAUCCGCUGAUAUCGGAAGGAAUACCAAAAGCGAAGGCAGCUAACUAUAUUUUUUCUGACGGUCAAGGACGAAAGCUUGGGUAGCGAACGGGAUUAGAUACCCCGGUUAUUCAAGCCGUAAAUGAUGCUCGCUA
rnacentral:rRNA from 1 species